GCAGGUGUAGUAUAAUGGUUAUUAUGACUGCUUGCCAUGCAGUAGAUGGGGGUUCGAUUCCCCUCGCUUGCUCCA
rnacentral:tRNA from 2 species